rnacentral:lncRNA from 1 species
AAUACUGAGCCUUCAUUCAAACUAAAAGGCUGGAAGGGAGGCAGCUGCCUUUGUUUGCCAUGGAUGGGUAGGGGCUGCACUGAGCAGCACCGGUGUUCUUCAUCCGGCUGCACCCCCAACAGAGCUCUUUCUUCCCCAGAUCCCUUUUACAGUUGGAUUCUCCCUCUUGGAUCUGGCUCUGCCUUAGUCCGACCUAGAGGGAUCAGCUUCGCCCACGCCCACUCUCACCCGGAACCUUUCAUCUCUUAUUGAAGCCUUUUAGGCCCAUUGGGAUGUUCAUUAGAACUCUGAAAACUACAGUUCUCCCCUUUAUGAGGACUGCACCACAGCUCGCCCUCUCCUGGGUUCCGGUAAGAAGAGAUUCCAAUACCACUCUUUUUUCAGAAUUCAGAAAGGCAAGAGACCACCUUACUGAGCUUCAAACUGGGGCUGGGAACGCUGCCAUGAAUUGGGCUUGGUCUGUCUGAAGGGAGCCACCUUUUCGACAAUCCUUAGACUUCUUUUGCCUGUUGGAAUUACACCUUGGAUCGUGGCGAAGUCUAUAGAGGUCAGAUUAAGAAGAACCAAAGCAGAAUAAACGUAGAACCCGAUGCUGAGUUCACGAGUGAGGACGACCUCUUCCUAUAUGCUUUGCUAUACCCUGCGUUUUGAACAUUAAGGACGAGAUAGGAGGCCCAUAAUGUUUCUUCUUGCUUUAAUCCUGUCGUGGCAACGUUGACUUCCAGUAAGAAAGAAACAAGGUCUCACUGUGUCACCCAGGCUGGAGAGCAGUGGCACGAUCAUAGCUCACUGAUCACAUGGCAGCCUCAAACUCCUGGACUCAGUGGGUCCUCCUGCCUCAGCAUCCUGAGUAGCUGGGACUACAGCCUGGUUGCAGAGUGAGCCCAUGGGACAGCCCUCUGAAAUUAUACUGCUUACAACCAUGCUGAGUCUGCAAGGACUUCGUCCAAGCCUUUCCGUCCAGGACCUCAAACAGAUCCAAUCACAAGAAGAGAGAUUUCAGGAAAGAGAAAAUUAUUCCUAUCAUCGGGGUUUUUGAAGAACAUGAAAUGACUGGGAAAAUAAUCAUGUUAAGUGGAAAAAAAAAAGAAAUCUAUCUGUUGUAAUUUUCAAAUAAUUUUUAAAUAAAUUUGAAAAAUUAAGAGAACUAUAUAUAUAAUACAUUCCUAAUCUUGUGAAAAAUAUAUAUGCAUUAAUAUUAUUGAAAGAAAUAUAUCAAAAGGUGAACAGCAAUUAUCACCAAUCUAGAUUAUGAGAUUAGGAGUGAUUUUUUUUCUUUGUCCUAUACUAUUUAAUAUUUUCUACCAUUAAAAUAUUCUGAUUUUCUAAUUAGAAUAGUACGUUAGACAAAGAAGGACAAAUAUCACAUGAACUCUCACUCUCUUAUGGAACAGAUCUUGUGGAAUCUAAAAAAGUUGAACUCAUAGAAAAAGAGGAAAAUGAUGGUUACCAGUUAGAAAAAAGGAAUAAGUUCAAGAGAUCUAUUGUACACCAUGGUCAAUAUAGUUAACAAUAUAUUUUAUACUUUAAAAUUGCUAAGGUAGUAGAUUUUAAGUGUUCUCACCACACAAAAAAAUAAGUAUGUGAAAAGCAUAUGGUAAUUAGCUUGAUUUAACCACGCCACAGUGCAUACAUAUGUCAAAACAUCAUGUUGUAUACUAUAAAUAUAUACACUUUUUGUCAAUUUUAAACAGGUUAUAAAAAAACAUGUUAUUGUUGAUAAUUAUGAAAAAUUUUAAUGAUGUGGAAAUGUGUAC